rnacentral:rRNA from 1 species
GACGAACGCUGGCGGCGUGCCUACUACAUGCAAGUAGAACGCAGUUGCGAACGGGUGAGUAACGCGUAGGUAACUGCCUCAUAGCUGGGGAUAACUAUUGGAAACGAUAGCUAAUACCGCAUACUGUGGGAUGGAUCUGUGUGGUAUUAGCUAGUUGGUGAGGUAAAGGCCCACCAAGGCGACGAUACAUAGCCUACCUGAGAGGGGGAGUGUGCUCACUGGUAAUGAGUAACGGCCCAGACUCCUACGGGGGGCAGCAGUAGGGAAUCGUCGGCAAGUGACGGAAGUCUGACCGGGCAACGCCGCGUGAGAGAAGGAGGUUUUCGGAUCGGAGAGCUCCGUUGUUAGAGAAGCGGUAACUAACCAGAAAGGAUCGGCUAACUGCGUGGCAGCAGCCGCGGUAAUAC